rnacentral:rRNA from 1 species
AGUAAAAGUCGUAACAAGGUUUCCGUAGGUGAACCUGCGGAAGGAUCAUUACCUAGAGUUGCGGGCUUUGCCUGCCAUCUCUUACCCAUGUCUUUUGAGUACCUUACGUUUCCUCGGCGGGUCCGCCCGCCGACUGGACAAUUUAAACCACUUGCAGUUGCAAUCAGCGUCUGAAAAAAUUUAAUAGUUACAACUUUCAACAACGGAUCUCUUGGUUCUGGCAUCGAUGAAGAACGCAGCGAAAUGCGAUAAGUAGUGUGAAUUGCAGAAUUCAGUGAAUCAUCGAAUCUUUGAACGCACAUUGCGCCCCUUGGUAUUCCAUGGGGCAUGCCUGUUCGAGCGUCAUUUGUACCUUCAAGCCUUGCUUGGUGUUGGGUGUUUGUCUCGCCUCUGCGCGUAGACUCGCCUCAAAACAAUUGGCAGCCGGCGUAUUGAUUUCGGAGCGCAGUACAUCUCGCGCUUUGCACUCAGAACGACGACGUCCAAAAGUACAUUUUUACACUCUUGACC